rnacentral:snRNA from 2 species
AGCCAUGUGGUGAGCACAAAGCGAACUAUUCUUUCGCCUUUUACUAAAGAAUACCGUGUGCUCUCCACGCUAAGUGGCAUACGCCUAUUUUUGGAGGGCUCUCACUUUACAGUGGGAC